CAGUAGCCGCGGUAAUACGAAGGGUGCAAGCGUUACUCGGAAUUACUGGGCGUAAAGCGUGCGUAGGCGGCUUUUUAAGUCGGAUGUGAAAUCCCUGAGCUUAACUUAGGAAUUGCAUUCGAUACUGGGAAGCUAGAGUAUGGGAGAGGAUGGUAGAAUUCCAGGUGUAGCGGUGAAAUGCGUAGAGAUCUGGAGGAAUACCGAUGGCGAAGGCAGCCAUCUGGCCUAAUACUGACGCUGAGGUACGAAAGCAUGGGGAGCAAACAGGAUUAGAUACCCCCGUAGUCCCUGUCUCUUAUAA
rnacentral:rRNA from 1 species